rnacentral:rRNA from 1 species
AAAACUUUCAACAACGGAUCUCUUGGUUCUGGCAUCGAUGAAGGACGCAGCGAAAUGCGAUAAGUAAUGUGAAUUGCAGAAUUCAGUGAAUCAUCGAAUCUUUGAACGCAUCUUGCGCCCUCCGGUAUUCCGGCGGGCAUGCCUGUUCGAGCGUCAUU